rnacentral:rRNA from 1 species
CAGUCGCCGCGGGAACACGAAGGGUGCAAGCGUUAAUCGGAAUUACUGGGCGUAAAGCGUGCGUAGGCGGUUUGUUAAGUCUGCUGUGAAAUCCCCGGGCUCAACCUGGGAAUGGCAGUGGAUACUGGCAAGCUAGAGUGUGUCAGAGGAUGGUGGAAUUCCCGGUGUAGCGGUGAAAUGCGUAGAGAUCGGGAGGAACAUCAGUGGCGAAGGCGGCCAUCUGGGACAACACUGACGCUGAGGCACGAAAGCGUGGGGAGCAAACAGGAUUAGAUACCCCCGUAGUCCCUGUCUCUUAUAC